AUGCCUCUAGAAAGAUCCAAAGUAAUUCGAGCUGUAAUUGUACGUACAUGUAAAGAGUUCAAAUGCAAAGACAUUAUAAUAAUCCGCUAUGAUGAUAAUGCUGCGGUUAUAAUUGAUCAAAAAGAAAAUCCAAAAGGAACUCGAGUUUUUGGCGCGAUUGCCGAGGAAUUGAGAGAAUUGAAUUUUACCAAAAUAGUUUCAUUAGCUCCCGAAGUAUUAUAA
rnacentral:rRNA from 1 species